UUUCCGUAGGUGAACCUGCGGAAGGNUCAU
rnacentral:rRNA from 1 species